UCCGCCUAAUCCACCAAAAAACCCAAAAUCUGCCUCCUAUCACCAUGCCGCCGCCACACCACACCAUCACCAGACUAAAUUCUUAUCUCUGUUUUUUCUUCUUAUAUAAAACUAAGUAAAAACAUGAAAUUUGUAAGUUUCUCAAAACCCAAAAUACAGAUAUGAAGACAACUCAAAUAUUCCCAAUGCUUCCACACCAUUCAAACAAUCCUUAACAAUAAUAAAAUAAAUAAAUAAAUAAAUAAAAUAGAUAAAAUAAAUAAUUCAUACAAGCAGAUACAAACAUGAUCCUUUAGAAUUGGAAUCGUUGAGCUGUUGUGUGAACUGCUUCAUUCAUUUGUUUGAAUACUGAUCUCCAAUUCAUACUACAACAAUUAAUCAAAUAAAAUAAAUAAAAAAUAUAACAAGCAUGAGAGAGAGAGAGUCAAUGUAUCAUUCAUAUAUUUUCAUCGGUAAAAAGUUGAGAUCAUUAAUAACUUACAAAAUCAUGAGUUUGUGAUAGAAUCAAAAUUAAAGGCGGCGGUGGUGG
rnacentral:lncRNA from 1 species